UCUAAAUUCUUUUUAUAUAUAUACUCAUUUUCUCCAUAAAAUAAAUCACUCAAUUUGAUCCAAGUGGGGCUUGUUCAGCAGCAUCCUUUGUUAACUAUUGCGUCAAACUGGAUUUUGAAUGUGGGACUUCUGCAUCCUCCUCUCUUAAAUAAUUAUUUUCACUCAUUUGUGAGAAUUACUUUGUGAAUGUCCUUAUAUAGCUAAGUUCUUGUGAGAGCCAGAAACACAUCCACGUGCAUAAUAUCACAAAUCUACAUGUGGUGUUUGAUGUUCGUGCUCUACAUACAUUCUACAUAUAUGGGAAGACAAACGGUAUGAUUGGCC
rnacentral:lncRNA from 1 species